rnacentral:lncRNA from 1 species
AAAAAGUGUUCCGCUCCACUCCUUCCAAAUGACUGAGCGGGUUAUAGCAGGUGAUCUCUCCGUGCAACAGGUCUCAGUGUCCCGGAUCCAGGCUAUACCACUCGGGAAAGAAGAGUCAAAAGUAAUCAAUGUGGAACUUUUUCGGAGAUGCGUGCUUGGAUGCCGUGCGUUUGUCUCAAACAUUACACUGAAGUUCGCAUCCUCACUCGUGAUAAGAACUUGGGGUUGUCAAUGUUUUCACAUGCGCCCUUAUGAAAUCUGUUCACACAGCGAGCGCGCAGUCGCAACCUCAGGACCAUCUUUUUUUGAGGGGCUCGCCAGUUCUAGAAAAGUACACUACACACCAACUUUCUGCCUCUUAUCUCCGGUCUCCAUUCCAGUGGUCUGCAAGCCCGUGGCUGGACUGUGACUUCUCCGGAGUCCUGUGCGGGAGUUUCUACUUGCGCAGAGCAGUGAGCCCGACACGGAGGUCAUGAGGCAGAUUUUUUAGAGGCAGAGACUGGAUUUUCCAUUAAAAAAAAAAAAAGUCCCUAAAUCUUGUGUAUCUUGGAGGCCAGAGGCUGGAGGCCCAAAGAGCAUCUGAUCGCCUGGAACUGAAGUUACAAGUAGUUGUAAGCUGCCCAAGAUGGAUGUUGGAACUGAACUCAACUUGGAUCCUCUGCAAGAGCAAUAUACACUCUUAAAUUGCUGGGCCAUUUUUUUCCCACUCCCUGAAAACAAACUUUGAGCAAAAGGCUGGUACACAAAAAGAAACAGCUAUAGCUGAGGGUGACCGAAGGGAAGACCGUGAACACUUUGAAGACUUUUAGACAGAGGUCUAUCAUCAGAAAAGGGACUAGCCUUUUCUUCUUUUUAUUGCAGACCUGGCACAGUGUCACCAUCCAAGAGGUGUGUCGUAUUUAACAACUGAAUAGAUAAAUGAACAGAAUAGCAUCAUUUUGAAUCAAGUUGUAAUCAAGGAACAAAACAGUAACGCUUUCAUCAGUUAAGAUCAAAGGCAAGAUAAUUUCCUGGUGGUUCAUUUUCACUAAGAGAUUCUUAGGCCACCCACAGUCUCAUUUACUUAAACAGAAACUCAAGAGGCACUUGG